AAAACAAGAUAAGAAAUAUUACAGUCUUAAUUGGCGCAGUUUGGCCCUUUCAUCACUUGGUAUAUAGUAUUUUGUAGAUACACCAACAAUGAAUUUUCUUAGAUACAUUACAAAUGAUGAAUUAGGGCCUUGCCCCAUUUGGUGUAUUUUGUUACUAUCAAUAUUCUGACUAUGCUGUUGGCGAUGGUGGAACUGGAGGGUACAGAUGCGGCGGCGACAACGUCGACUUCGGUGAGAUGGCUGGUGGACCAAGGACCAAUCCUGCAUUUGCUUUAUAAUAUGAAGUAAUGUCGAUGUGUGAUGUUAACAUCAUGGUUAUCUACAGAUGUAUGGGUACGCUCCGUUUAUGGUCGUCUCUAUAACGUGUGGAGUAUCGAGACCUGUUUACGGAGGUGUGUACACGAUUGGAGGCCACGACGAGGGAUACUUUUAACUGACAUGGAUGACCGCAUGAUCUUCGGAUUGGUCUUCCUACGCUUUAGGCGUUAUACAGACUCUUUGAUUAAGUGUAUUUCGCCUUUUUCUGUUGUUGUUUUUUUGGAACGUGGACUUGGUUAUGGCUAUGUGCAUCUCAAUUAUGCAGAGGCCGGGUGUAAUGCUUAAGUAUUUUAAGUAAUAAAGCACCUUUUAUCAAAAAAAA